rnacentral:rRNA from 1 species
ACCAGCGGAGGGAUCAUUACCGAGUUUACAACUCCCAAACCCCAAUGUGAACGUUACCAAUCUGUUGCCUCGGCGGGAUUCUCUGCCCCGGGCGCGUCGCAGCCCCGGAUCCCAUGGCGCCCGCCGGAGGACCAACUCAAACUCUUUUUUCUCUCCGUCGCGGCUUCCGUCGCGGCUCUGUUUUACCUUUGCUCUGAGCCUUUCUCGGCGACCCUAGCGGGCGUCUCGAAAAUGAAUCAAAACUUUCAACAACGGAUCUCUUGGUUCUGGCAUCGAUGAAGAACGCAGCGAAAUGCGAUAAGUAAUGUGAAUUGCAGAAUUCAGUGAAUCAUCGAAUCUUUGAACGCACAUUGCGCCCGCCAGUAUUCUGGCGGGCAUGCCUGUCCGAGCGUCAUUUCAACCCUCGAACCCCUCCGGGGGGUCGGCGUUGGGGAUCGGCCCCUCACCGGGCCGCCCCCGAAAUACAGUGGCGGUCUCGCCGCAGCCUCUCCUGCGCAGUAGUUUGCACACUCGCACCGGGAGCGCGGCGCGGCCACAGCCGUAAAACACCCCAAACUCUGAAAUGUUGACCUCGGAUCAGGUAGGAAUACCCGCUGAACUUAAGCAUAUCAAUAAAGCGGAGGAA